GAUGAACGCUGGCGGCGUGCCUAAUACAUGCAAGUCGAGCGAACAGACGAGGAGCUUGCUCCUCUGACGUUAGCGGCGGACGGGUGAGUAACACGUGGAUAACCUACCUAUAAGACUGGGAUAACUUCGGGAAACCGGAGCUAAUACCGGAUAAUAUAUUGAACCGCAUGGUUCAAUAGUGAAAGACGGUUUUGCUGUCACUUAUAGAUGGAUCCGCGCCGCAUUAGCUACUGUUGGUAAGGUAACGGCUUACCAAGGCAACGAUGCGUAGCCGGCCGGAGUGGGUGAUCUGCCACACUGGAACUGAGCCACGGUCCAGACACCUACGGGAGGCAACCGUAGGGAAUCGUCAGCAAUGGGCGAAAGCCUGACGGAGCAACGCCGCGUGAGUGAUGAAGGUCCUUGGAUCGUAAAACUCUGUUAUUAGGGAAGAACAAAGGUGUAAGUAACUAUGCACGUCUUGACGGUACCUAAUCAGAAAGCCACGGCUAACUACGUGCCAGCCGCCGCCGUAA
rnacentral:rRNA from 1 species